GAUGAACGCUAGCGACAGGCUUAACACAUGCAAGUCGAGGGGUAACAGGGUAGCAAUACCGCUGACGACCGGCGCACGGGUGAGUAACGCGUAUGCAACCUGCCUAUAACUGGGGAAUAGCUCCCUGAAAGGGGAAUUAACACCGCAUAACACUAUUGAUUCGCAUGGAUUAGUGGUUAAAUGUAGCGAUACAGGUUAUAGAUGGGCAUGCGUGACAUUAGCUAGUUGGUGAGGUAACGGCACACCAAGGCUACGAUGUCUAGGGGUUCUGAGAGGAAGGUCCCCCACACUGGUACGUGAGACACGGACCAGACUCUACGGGAGGCAGCAGUGAGGAAUAUUGGUCAAUGGGCGCAAGCCUGAACCAGCCAUGUCGCGUGCAGGACGACUGCCCUAUGGGUUGUAAACAGCUUUUAUAGUAGAAGAAACACAUCUACGUGUAGAUGUCUGCCAGUAUACUAUGAAUAAGCAUCGGCUAAUUCCGUGCCAGCAGCCGCGGUAAUACGGAGGAUGCAAGCGUUAUCCGGAUUUAUUGGGUUUAAAA
rnacentral:rRNA from 1 species